rnacentral:rRNA from 1 species
UACGUAGGGAGCAAGCGUUGUUCGGAUUUACUGGGCGUAAAGGGCGCGUAGGCGGCCUGUCAAGUCAACUGUGAAAUCUCCGGGCUUAACUCGGAACGGUCAGUUGAUACUGUCAGGCUAGAGUGCAGAAGGGGCAAUCGGAAUUCUUGGUGUAGCGGUGAAAUGCGUAGAUAUCAAGAGGAACACCUGAGGUGAAGACGGGUUGCUGGGCUGACAACUGACGCUGAGACUCGAAAGCAUGGGGAGCAAACAGG